rnacentral:rRNA from 1 species
GUGCAGCAGUCGAGAAAACUUCACAAUGUGCGAAAGCACGAUGAGGGAAUCCCAAGUGCUUGCACGUAAGUGUAAGCUGUUUCUCUGUCUAAAACGCAGAGAGAGUAAGGGCUGGGUAAGACGGGUGCCAGCCGCCGCGGUAAUACCUGCAGCUCGAGUGGUGACCGUUAUUAUUGGGCCUAAAACGUCCGUAGCCGGUUUAAUAAAUGCCUGGGUAAAUCGGACCGCUUAACGGUUCGAAUUCCGGGUAGACUGUUAAACUUGAGACCGGGAGAAGUUAGAGGUACUCCUGGGGUAGAGGUGAAAUUCUGUAAUCCGUAGGGGGACCACCAGUGGCGAAGGCGUCUAACUAGAACGGGUCUGACGGUGAGGGACGAAGCCC